rnacentral:rRNA from 1 species
GAACGAUUAUAGCGGCUAACGGUGCAAGUCGAGCGGAUGAAGGGAGCUUGCUCCUGGAUUCAGCGGCGGACGGGUGAGUAAUGCCUAGGAAUCUGCCUGGUAGUGGGGGAUAACGUCCGGAAACGGGCGCUAAUACCGCAUACGUCCUGAGGGAGAAAGUGGGGGAUCUUCGGACCUCACGCUAUCAGAUGAGCCUAGGUCGGAUUAGCUAGUUGGUGGGGUAAAGGCCUACCAAGGCGACGAUCCGUAACUGGUCUGAGAGGAUGAUCAGUCACACUGGAACUGAGACACGGUCCAGACUCCUACGGGAGGCAGCAGUGGGGAAUAUUGGACAAUGGGCGAAAGCCUGAUCCAGCCAUGCCGCGUGUGUGAAGAAGGUCUUCGGAUUGUAAAGCACUUUAAGUUGGGAGGAAGGGCAGUAAGUUAAUACCUUGCUGUUUUGACGUUACCAACAGAAUAAGCACCGGCUAACUUCGUGCCAGCAGCCGCGGUAAUACGAAGGGUGCAAGCGUUAAUCGGAAUUACUGGGCGUAAAGCGCGCGUAGGUGGUUCAGCAAGUUGGAUGUGAAAUCCCCGGGCUCAACCUGGGAACUGCAUCCAAAACUACUGAGCUAGAGUACGGUAGAGGGUGGUGGAAUUUCCUGUGUAGCGGUGAAAUGCGUAGAUAUAGGAAGGAACACCAGUGGCGAAGGCGACCACCUGGACUGAUACUGACACUGAGGUGCGAAAGCGUGGGGGAGCAAACAGGAUUAGAUACCCUGGUAGUCCACGCCGUAACGAUGUCGACUAGCCGUUGGGAUCCUUGAGAUCUUAGUGGCGCAGCUAACGCGAUAAGUCGACCGCCUGGGGAGUACGGCCGCAAGGUUAAAACUCAAAUGAAUUGACGGGGGCCCGCACAAGCGGUGGAGCAUGUGGUUUAAUUCGAAGCACGCGAAGACCUUACCUGGCCC